rnacentral:tRNA from 1 species
GGCAGUGUAGCAUAGUGGUAAAGAGCAGGGCUUGUAACCAAAAGGUUGCUGGUUCAAAUUCACUGCUGCUG